GGUGUGUCGUGAGGCAUGCUGGAGGUAUCAGAAGUGCGAAUGCUGACAUAAGUAACGAUAAAGCGGGUGAAAAGCCCGCUCGCCGGAAGACCAAGGGUUCCUGUCCAACGUUAAUCGGGGCAGGGUGAGUCGACCCCUAAGGCGAGGCCGAAAGGCGUAGUCGAUGGGAAACGGGUUAAUAUUCCCGUACUUGGUGUUACUGCGAAGGGGGGACGGAGAAGGCUAUGUUGGCCGGGCGACGGUUGUCCCGGUUUAAGCGUGUAGGUGUGUGUUCCAGGUAAAUCCGGUUCACUUUAACACUGAGGCGUGACGACGAGGCACUACGGUGCUGAAGCAACAAAUGCCCUGCUUCCAGGAAAAGCCUCUAAGCAUCAGGUAACAUCAAAUCGUACCCCAAACCGACACAGGUGGUCAGGUAGAGAAUACCAAGGCGCUUGAGAGAACUCGGGUGAAGGAACUAGGCAAAAUGGUGCCGUAACUUCGGGAGAAGGCACGCUGACACGUAGGUGAAGUGAUUUACUCAUGGAGCUGAAGUCAGUCGAAGAUACCAGCUGGCUGCAACUGUUUAUUAAAAACACAGCACUGUGCAAACACGAAAGUGGACGUAUACGGUGUGACGCCUGCCCGGUGCCGGAAGGUUAAUUGAUGGGGUCAGCGCAAGCGAAGCUCCUGAUCGAAGCCCCGGUAAACGGCGGCCGUAACUAUAACGGUCCUAAGGUAGCGAAAUUCCUUGUCGGGUAAGUUCCGACCUGCACGAAUGGCGUAAUGAUGGCCAGGCUGUCUCCACCCGAGACUCAGUGAAAUUGAACUCGCUGUGAAGAUGCAGUGUACCCGCGGCAAGACGGAAAGACCCCGUGAACCUUUACUAUAGCUUGACACUGAACAUUGAGCCUUGAUGUGUAG
rnacentral:rRNA from 1 species